CGUAUGCUGCCCCAUGAUUUGAUGCCACAGCUUCGACUCCAUGCAGCUCCUGUGUUUUGUCCACGUUUAGAAGCACCUAUCUGUGCGAACAGAUGUUUUCAAUAAUGAAUUUAAACAAGACCAAGACCAGAUCGCGCAUUACUGACGAAAACCUACACGCCGUUUUGCGGAUUGCAACAGCACAAGAACUAAAACCGGACAUCGACGAACUGACCAGGGGAAAACGGUGCCAGACAUCCGGCCAGAAAACAUUGAACACAACACAAUGAGGAUGUGUGAGUUGGUGACAGGCUGAAGAGGAUCAGCGUUGUGUUCAAGGACAGGCAGCAUCACCUCAUUGUUUGGUUCUUAUGUGAAAUACAUGUUCGUUGUGUAAUAAAUAACGAAAAAGUUUUGUGAAUGAA